UCGGGAACUGAUGCUAAUACCGAAUGUGCCGAGAGGUGAAAGAUUUAUUGUCUGAAGAUGAGCUCGCGUCUGAUUAGCUAGUUGGGGCGGUAACGGCGCACCAAGGCGACGAUCAGUAACUGGUCUGAGAGGAUGACCAGUCACACUGGGACUGAGACACGGCCCAGACUCCUACGGGAGGCAGCAGUGGGGAAUUUUCCGCAAUGGGCGAAAGCCUGACGGAGCAAUACCGCGUGCGGGAGGACGCUUUUUGGAGUGUAAACCGCUUUUCUCAAGGAAGAUGAUGACGGUACUUGAGGAAUCAGCAUCGGCUAACUUCGUGCCAGCAGCCGCGGUAAUACGAGGGAUGCAAGCGUUAUCCGGAAUUAUUGGGCGUAAAGCGUUCGUAGGUGGCUAGGUAAGUCUGUUGUUAAAGCGUGGAGCUUAACUCCAUAUCGGCGAUGGAAACUGCUUGGCUAGAGUAUGGUAGGGGUAACAGGAAUUCCCAGUGUAGCGGUGAAAUGCGUAGAUAUUGGGAAGAACACCAGCGGCGAAAGCGUGUUACUGGGCCAUUACUGACACUGAGGGACGAAAGCUAGGGGAGCGAAAGGGAUUAGAUACCCCUGUAGUC
rnacentral:rRNA from 1 species